rnacentral:rRNA from 1 species
AUUGAACGCCGGCGGCAGGCCUAACACAUGCAAGUCGAGCGGUAGAGAGAAGCUUGCUUCUCUUGAGAGCGGCGGACGGGUGAGUAAUGCCUAGGAAUCUGCCUGGUAGUGGGGGAUAACGUUCGGAAACGGACGCUAAUACCGCAUACGUCCUACGGGAGAAAGCAGGGGACCUGCGGGCCUUGCGCUAUCAGAUGAGCCUAGGUCGGAUUAGCUAGUUGGUGAGGUAAUGGCUCACCAAGGCGACGAUCCGUAACUGGUGUGAGAGGAUCAUCAGUCACACUGGAACUGAGACACGGUCCAGACUCCUACGGGAUGCAGCUGUGGGGAAUAUUGGACAAUGAGCGAGAGCCUGAUCCGGUCAUGCCGCGUGUGUGAAGAAGGUCUUCGGAUUGUAAAGCACUUUAAGUUGGGAGGAAGCGUUGUAGAUUAAUACUCUGCAAUUUUGACGUUAACGACAGAAUAAGCACCGGCUAACUCUGUGCCAGCCGCCGCCGUAA